rnacentral:tRNA from 1 species
GGCAGGUUGCCCGAGCGGCCAAAGGGAGCUGACUGUAAAUCAGCCGGCAAUGCCUACAGUGGUUCGAAUCCACUACCUGCCA